rnacentral:rRNA from 1 species
UACGUAGGGUACAAGCGUUAUCCGGAAUUAUUGGGCGUAAAGCGCGCGCAGGCGGCCUCGCGCGCCCGACGUGAAAGCCCCCGGCUUAACCGGGGAGAGUCGUUGGGGACGGCGGGGCUUGAGGGCGGGAGAGGUCGGUGGAAUUCCCCGGUGUAGUGGUGAAAUGCGUAGAGAUCGGGAGGAACACCUGUGGCGAAGGCGGCCGACUGGGCCGACCCUGACGCUGAGGCGCGAAGGCGUGGGGAGCGAACGGG